AUUGAACGCUGGCGGCAUGCCUUACACAUGCAAGUCGAGCGGCAGCGCGGGGGCAACCCUGGCGGCGAGCGGCGGACGGGUGAGUAAUACAUCGGAACGUGUCCUUUCGUGGGGGAUAACCAGUCGAAAGACUGGCUAAUACCGCAUGAGAUCUCACGAUGAAAGCGGGGGACCGCAAGGCCUCGCGCGAUUGGAGCGGCCGAUGUCGGAUUAGCUAGUUGGCGGGGUAAAAGCCCACCAAGGCGACGAUCCGUAGCUGGUUUGAGAGAACGACCGGCCACACUGGGACUGAGACACGGCCCAGACUCCUACGGGAGGCAGCAGUGGGGAAUUUUGGACAAUGGGGGCAACCCUGAUCCAGCCAUGCCGCGUGUGUGAAGAAGGCCUUCGGGUUGUAAAGCACUUUCGGCCGGAACGAAAUCGCGCGGGCGAAUAUCCCGCGUGGAUGACGGUACCGGAAGAAGAAGCACCGGCUAACUACGUGCCAGCCGCCGCAGUAACAC
rnacentral:rRNA from 1 species